rnacentral:misc_RNA from 1 species
CUAAGGAAAUGUAGAAUCAUCAUCUUCAGUUUUGAAAGACUUAGUUAAGUUUUUCUCAUUUAUUUUAUUUUUUUUGAUAUCCUGGGCCUAUAGCUCAGUUGGUUAGAGCACACGCCUGAUAAGCGUGAGGUCGGUGGUUCAAGUCCAUUUAGGCCCACCAAACGUUUUUAUAAAAAACGUGUUAUCAAAAGAAAGUUCUUUGAAAAGUAGAUAAACAAGAAAAUAAUAUCCGUUUUU